rnacentral:rRNA from 1 species
GUGCCGGGGCUGUCGCUGACUUUGUGCACGCCCCGGUGCUCUCUCCACAAUCCAUCUCACCCCCUUUGUGCAUCACCGCCGUGGGUGCUCUCCUUUUUGGUUCGUUCCGAAAGGGGGCAUUCGCGUUUUUAUACAAAACCCACUGCAUGUGUAGAAUGUCUUACUAUUUGCGAUAAUGCGCAAUCAAUACAACUUUCAACAACGGAUCUCUUGGCUCUCGCAUCGAUGAAGAACGCAGCGAAAUGCGAUACGUAAUGUGAAUUGCAGAAUUCAGUGAAUCAUCGAAUCUUUGAACGCACCUUGCGCCCCUUGGAAUUCCGAGGGGCACACCCGUUUGAGUGUCGUGAACAUCCUUCAACCUUUCUUGGUUUCUUGACCGGGGAAGGCUUGGACUUUGGGGGUCUUUCAUUGCUGGCCUCUUCGAAGCCAGCUCCUCCUAAAUGGAUUAGUGUGGUCUGCUUUGCGGAUCCUUGACGUGAUAAGAUGUUUCUACGUCUUGGGUUUCGCACUGUAGCUUCGGACCCCGCUUCUAACCGUCUUGCAUUCAAGACAGAGUUUUGAACCUUGACCUCAAAUCGGGUGAGACUACCCGCUGAACUUAAGCAUAUCAAUAGCCGGGAGGAAA